rnacentral:rRNA from 1 species
UACGAAGGGGGCUAGCGUUGCUCGGAAUCACUGGGCGUAAAGGGCGCGUAGGCGGAUCUUUAAGUCGGGGGUGAAAGCCUGUGGCUCAACCACAGAAUUGCCUCGAUACUGGGGAUCUCGAGACCGGAAGAGGUGAGUGGAACUGCGAGUGUAGAGGUGAAAUUCGUAGAUAUUCGCAAGAACACCAGUGGCGAAGGCGGCUCACUGGCCGGUUCUGGACGCUGAGGCGCGAAAGCGUGGGGAGCGAACAGG